rnacentral:rRNA from 1 species
CAGUAGCCGCGGUAAUACGGAGGGUGCAAGCGUUAAUCGGAAUUACUGGGCGUAAAGCGUGCGUAGGCGGUUUGUUAAGUCUGCUGUGAAAUCCCCGGGCUCAACCUGGGAAUGGCAGUGGAUACUGGCAAGCUAGAGUGUGUCAGAGGAUGGUGGAAUUCCCGGUGUAGCGGUGAAAUGCGUAGAGAUCGGGAGGAACAUCAGUGGCGAAGGCGGCCAUCUGGGACAACACUGACGCUGAGGCACGAAAGCGUGGGGAGCAAACAGGAUUAGAUACCCCUGUAGUCCCUGUCUCUUAUAC